rnacentral:lncRNA from 1 species
GUCAUGAUCGAACUGGGACAAGGGGAGGGAAGAAUUCUGAGGAGCGUGACACUACCACAUCCCUCCCAAGUGAGAGCUGCCAACUCACUGCCAGAUACUGUGAGGGAACCAAGGGAACCUGUAUAUCUCUCCCGUUCCAUUGCCACACAGUCGGGACUUUCAUUUCUCAGUUCAAUGCGGUCGAUGUUGUGAAGGGACCUAAGCGGGAUGAGACGAAAGGUAUACGGAAACCACUUUUCGUUACUGCAGUUUAUCGCAAUGAUAUCAACAUCAAGCACCGCCAACAACACCAACACUUCUAGCAACGCCAAAGGAAAGCAGGUGGUAAAUGCUUGAAGUGGCGGGUUAUCUUCAAAAUAACUCACUAAUCCGGGGCAAGGCUGUUCGAGGGAUGGCGUUAGCACGAGAUGGCUGGCUGGGCGAGAGAAGCUGGGAAGGCAUGUCUACUGAUGGUGCUAUAAUCGAGAGCUGACUCACCAUGAUGGCAUGACACGACAGUUCUGAAGGGGAUGUCAGAUGCACGAUGUUUCAGCCAACAGCUUGUCAUCGUGAGUCAGCACAAGCAAGGCUGAAGACACUCUAGGGAAAGAAGAACCACCAUCCUGAGUAAUCUUAUUAAAUCUUAAAACUAACUUACAAUUCCUCCUUUCCUGACCUUUUAAACCUUCCCAUACACCACUGUAUAUUGCCCUUAUCUAAUUGCAUCUUCUUAUCUCCAUAAUGAUUGACGUGUGGCUCUUAUAGGAUUCAUUUAAUUCAUUCUAGGGAGAUCAAACGCCAUGUUACUAAUAGAGGCAAAGGAAGAGCAAACGGUAACAUACUUAUUGACUCCGGAGAGGGUGCAUAAUAUAUUCAAUGUUACCUAAAGACUGAGAUAAACAUAUCAAGUUUUGGGAGAUGCGAGAAAGUUAAAAGCGAGGAAUAUGCCAUUUACAAGCAAGGAACGUUCUUUCUGCCUAGGGCGGCUCACGUGUUGCCUGAGCCUUCCUGACUGCACUGCAACUAUGUAACGAUGACGCUUGAGUUUUUCAUACCUAACACUUAUGUAAUUCCUCUCGUCAAGUGCGUUAAGAAUAUAAAAUGGUCAUUGUUACGGUGACUCAACUCAUGUCCCCCUCCUGCUCCUGCGCUGUCACCUUUUUUUUUACUUCCUGAUUGUUUACAUUGUUACCGAAUCUCAGCAGCUGUGCAGUGCGUUAAAGCUGGUUUGUUUAUUUCCUAAAAGGCAUGGAAAUAAACCAGUUCAAGUAAAACGUUAGAGACUAACCUCAUAAGUGGAGAUAAAAGAAAGGGAAGAAAUGUGGUUAGGACAGAAUAAAUCAGUGUUUUGAUUUAGAAGUCGUGAAAAUAAACUCGAGAAUAAAUAUAAGUCAAGGGGACAUAAGACUAUUAAGUGAGAAGAUAACUAAGUUUAGAACUGAGAUGACAAGAUAUUAAAGUAUAAUAUAGAAAAAGGAAGAAAAAAAAAUAAUAAAGAAAAAUGUACACCUGAGACUAAGAUGACACAAGAUACGUCAAGAGGAAAUAUCUUAAAUCAUGGACACACCAGUUAAAACACCAUAGAAAUAUAAGAGAUAAGUAAGAAGAAAAGACAUACAGAUAGAUAAAAAAAAAAAAAUCAUAAAUAAAGACAACAUACAAGUUUUAAUGGGGUUAAAUAAUAUACCAUGAUUAACAAUUUGUUUGUAUUUUCUCUAUGUAGUAUAAACAUUUGGACUAGAUUAUAAAGAUUUACAAAAAAGGUCAAUAUUGUCUUGAUGAGUAGACGUAGUACAUGAUGCGAAAAUAAAUAAACAUAUAUAGUACAAUAUUUCUUCUAUAUUACAUAGAUACAAACAGACACAUUCAUCGAGGCAGAGAGAACAACAAAAAGAAUAAACCAAUUGCAUCAAUAAUCUAUAGUGAUGGAAACUUCAUGAGAGAAAAUAAUUGGUAGUCCCUAAGUGGCAUACACCAAGACAGCCUUUACACUUAUGAAAAUGAAUAAUAAAGAUAGAUAACAGUUCUUCCCUGCAUUAUGUCCAAGCCAGUUUGUACUAGGGAGGUGAUUGAUGUAUGUCGGGUGAGAUUAUCAUAUAGGGAGGCUCAAGAACAAAGCGAGAACAUGGUGUGAACUGUACUUCCUUGUCUCCCAUCUUCUGCGCCCUGAGCCGUGUUCCCGCAUCUGGUACAGUGUGAGAUUUAUCAAACGAUGCAUCCACUGGUAAAGGGAUGAAGUGUGUGUGUGUGUGUGUGUGUGUGUGUGUGUGUGUGUGUGUGUGUGUGUGUGUGUGUGUGAUGUGGGAGCAUUCCUCAGUAGCUACGCUUGCCAAACGCUUUGUUAUCUCAUUCAUUUACACACAAAAACACACACACAAACACACCCAAUCAAGGAGACAUGAAUGAAAAUGAAGCUAAUACUGUAACAUCAGAAAGCACAGUUCACUUUUGCUUGUUUUGGUAUAGCAUUGAAGAGACUAGCUUGAUGAAUUAUGAGCUUGCUUCUCGAGUGUGCUUUUAAAGUCAAUCACCCAUCAUAGGACUGAGGAAUACACUCAUAUAUUAAACAACCACCAUAUGCUCGUUCAUCUGUAACAC